rnacentral:sRNA from 1 species
GUCAGUGACCCCCGACUAAAGUGCGGGGGCUUGUUUAGGCCAAUCUAAACGUAGUACUGACUAGAGCGCUGAGCCAAUAACUGCUACGUACCUCCGAGUACUUCUCUAGCUCGGACUACCUACAAGCCUCAUUGGAAGAGGCGUUGCGUAAUGGCAAGCCAUGUUGUUAUUGGUGCUCGAAGAGACGACAAACUAGGGGUUAUACCCA